rfam:Ictidomys tridecemlineatus contig026101, whole genome shotgun sequence.
GGGGUUGUAGCUCAGUGGUAGAGUGCUUGUCUUGCACAUGUGAGGAACUGAGUUCAAUCCUCAGCACCA